rnacentral:misc_RNA from 1 species
AAGUCGUAACAAGGUUUCCGUAGGUGAACCUGCGGAAGGAUCAUUAACACUUUUAUCCAAUAUGAAAACUAAACGUGAACUUUUCCCCUCCCUAUAUCGUACACUUGUGGUUGAUAUAGGCUAACAUUUAUUUAAUUUUCCAACCACUUUUUAACUUUUAUAAGUCUUUGUGAGCUGACGCUUACAAGAAAGGACUGACUAACUAAAAAUUUUAUUUAAGAUGUCACCUGUUGAUCUCUUGAUUAAUAUUUUUCUUUACGAAAUAAAUAUUAGUAUAUAAGAACAACUCUUAGCAAUGGAUAUCUUGGUUCUC